CUCUUUCCCCCCAGUCUUCAAAGUCUGUUCUUCCCUUUUCUGCUGCAACUUGUACUUUUUUUAAUUUUAAAAAAAGGUCCUCAUGAAAAUUCUUCAGGUGUUGAAGAGAGGAUGGACUCACCCGUAGUUGUAAAUGCGUUUCCUCUUCCCAGGCGGCCUGGAUGCAUCCUGAAUUGUGCAAAAUGUCUGCUACUUCCCCCCAACGGUCAAAACUCCCAUUGUUCUAGGCGUGUUUUGCGACAGGGAAGUUUGUUAACGUGAGCAGUUUCUGAGCUCUGGGUGCAGUACUGAGCCCAAGAUUUCAGAUUAAAACUGCAGAGUGGAAGGAAAGGAGGACGUUUUCCUGCCUCCCCACUUCCAGCUACUCUCUGAAGUCUGGAAAAGAGACCCUCUUAAGGAUAUUAGGGGUGUGGGCAGGGGAAGGACUAGACCAUGUGAAAAAUGAACAUGAUAUUUUAGCUGCAGUUCCUUCAUUCUCAGCUUUGUAUUCUUGUUAUAAAGAAAAGGCUCACCUAGACAUUCUGUUGUUGUGCCCAGAACCUAGGUUGAAGGCGCCAUUUAGCUCCAGCUUUCAUAUCUCUGUUUCUAAUGGGGCUACUCCGCCAUGCCACCUCAAGACUCUUACCAAAUGCCCACACCUUCCACUUUUCUCUUUCCCUCCUGCUUUCUCUCUCAUUGGAUUUUUUCUUACCAUCUAGUGUUGUUGUUGUUGAGUCGUUUAGUCAUGUCCGACUCUUCGUCACCCCCUGGACUAGAGCACGCCAGGCACUCCUGUCUUCCACUGCCUCCUGCAGUUUGGAUAAACUCAUGCUGGUAGCUUCGAGAACACUGUCCAACCAUCUCGUCCUCUGUCGUCCCCUUCUCCUUGUGCCCUCCAUCUUCCCCAACAUCAGGGUCUUUUCCAGGGAGUCUUCUCAUGAGGUGGCCAAAGUAUUGGAGCCUCAGCUUCAGGAUCUGUCCUUUCAGUGAGCACUCAGGGCUGAUUUCCUUCAGAAUGGAUAGGUUUGAUCUUCUUGCAGUCCAUGGGACUCUCAAGAGUCUCCUCCAGCACCAUAAUUCAAAAGCAUCAAUUCUUUGGCGAUCAGCCUUCUUUAUGGUCCAGCUCUCACUACCAUAACAUCGCUACUGGGAAAACCAUAGCUUUAACUAUACGGACCUUUGUUGGCAAGGUGAUGUCUCUGCUUUUUAAGAUGCUGUCUAGGUUUGUCAUUGCUUUUCAUUGCCAUCUAGCCUAGGGAAAUCAAAAGCUUGCACACCAGUUCAUGACAU